rnacentral:lncRNA from 1 species
CUGUGCCGUAGAACUGAGGAAAGCACAGGCUCUGCUAGAGAUGUUAAGUAUUCUCUCUCCCUGAAAGCUGGUUCUUCUGAAAUCGAAAUAUUCAGGGGGGAAGGAAAAGAGGCACAGGGCAUCUGAAUUCCAAAGGACUAGGGAAGCCACCACUUCCCGGAUAACUGCACUCCCUCCACCUUACACCUAAAACAAGGUUGAAGAGUCCUGUCAGGGCCAUCUCAAAAGGAGAAGCAAAGCCUGCAGAGGAGGCCAGCCUGAGUCCUGGGAUGCGAACGGGUGCUGGGCUCAGCAUGAGGAGGAGGAGACCCUGGCCACAGUUCCAUGAAUCUUUGCUCCCUUCCACAUUAUGGAUUCUGGCUAAGAAGAUUUUCAUCUUUCACCACCUGUUCUGGAUUCUUGGAACAGGUGAUCUAUUGCUUUCUGGAGUUUAAAGUUCAGAGGAUCAUGAAGUACCACAGCUGGAAGGGGUGUAAGUGACACUGACUAGCCUAACUCUCUUAAAAAUCAUAGCCCUACUCCUGCCUCCCCAAAUCGGAUACGACAGGCAUAGGCUGUGACUGUUCCUUAAAUCUUAGUGGCAAUACUCUCUGACCAGUUUUGCGGGGUGCUCCCAGUUUCAUUGCUUUUGUAACAGGUGGCCAGAAAGCUUGGGGUCCCGUGAUAAGAGUUUCAGUUCUUUCCAGGAUGGAUGGAAAGAAGGAAGGAAGGAUGGAUGGAUGAAUGAAUGAGUGGGUGAGCGGAUGGAUGGAUGGAUGGAUGGAUGGAUGGAUGGAUGGACGGAUGAAAAGAUGGGCCAGAGCCUCGGAACGGUAAUGCCGGCCAGACGGGUCCGAGCCCCUCGGGAGCCCCAGCCCUCCUCCGGCUGCGGGGCCGCUGCUCCUGCUCCCGGGCCGUCACGGAGCCCUGAGGGAGGGGGCGGGCGAGCGGGGGCCCUGGGGCGGCCAGGGCGCUGGGAGGGAGUACUGGGCGGUGGGGACCGGAGGGGAGGGAGGGCCUUGGAGGCGGAGAGGAGGGACGGGCGGGGAGAGGGCCCGGACGAGGGGCGGC